rnacentral:rRNA from 1 species
CAAAGGUUUGGUCCUGACUUUAUUAUCAGCUCUAACUAGACUUACACAUGCAAGUAUCCGCACCCCUGUGAGAAUGCCCUAACAGUUCCCUGCCCGGGAACAAGGAGCUGGUAUCAGGCACAAUCCUAAAUUAGCCCACGACACCUUGCUUAGCCACACCCUCAAGGGAACCCAGCAGUGAUAGACAUUAAGCCAUGAGUGAAAACUUGACUUAGUCAAAGCUAAGAGGGCCGGUAAAACUCGUGCCAGCCACCGCGGUUAUACGAGAGGCCCAAGCUGAUAGUCGUCGGCGUAAAGAGUGGUUAAGAUUAAUUGAAGACUAAAGCCGAAAGCCCCCACAGCUGUUAUACGCAUCCGGGGAAAAGAAGCCCAAUUACGAAAGUGGCUUUACAACAUCUGAACCCACGAAAGCUAGGGUACAAACUGGGAUUAGAGACCCCACUAUGCCCAGCCUUAAACAUUGACGUCUACUACAUAUGCCGUCCGCCCGGGGAUUACGAGCACCAGCUUAAAACCCAAAGGACUUGGCGGUGCUUUAGAUCCACCUAGAGGAGCCUGUUCUAGAACCGAUGACCCCCGUUCAACCUCACCCUUCCUUGUUUAUUCCGCCUAUAUACCACCGUCGUCAGCUUACCCUGUGAAGGCCCUAUAGUAAGCAAGAUUGGCACUGCCCAAAACGCCAGGUCGAGGUGUAGCGUAUGGAAGGGGAAGCAAUGGGCUACAUUCACUACUGCCAGUGAAUACGAAUAGUGCACUGAAACGUGUACAUUGAAGGAGGAUUUAGCAGUAAGCAGGAAACAGAGUGUUCUGCUGAAAUUGGCCC